UACGAAGGGGGCUAGCGUUGCUCGGAAUCACUGGGCGUAAAGCGCACGUAGGCGGAUUGCUAAGUCAGGGGUGAAAUCCUGGAGCUCAACUCCAGAACUGCCUUUGAUACUGGCGAUCUUGAGUCCGGGAGAGGUGAGUGGAACUGCGAGUGUAGAGGUGAAAUUCGUAGAUAUUAGGAAGAACACCAGUGGCGAAGGCGGCUCACUGGCCCGGUACUGACGCUCAUGUGCGAAAGCGUGGGGAGCAAACAGG
rnacentral:rRNA from 1 species